GUCACUGUGUCACCCCCUUCCUCACUCUGUCACUAGUCACCCUCUCUCUCACUCUGUCUCUAGUCACCCCGUCCCUCACUCUGUCACUAGAGUGAGGGGGUGACUAGUGACAGAGUGAGGGGGUGACUAGUGACACAGUGAGGGAGGGGGUGACUAGUGACAGAGGGAGGUGGUGACUAGUGACAGAGUGAGGGAGGGAAGUGUGUGACUAGUGACAGUCACCACCUCCUUCACUCUGUCACUAGUCACCCCCUCCCUCACUCUGUCACUGUGUCACCCCCUUCCUCACUCUGUCACUAGUCACCCUCUCUCUCACUCUGUCACUAGUCACCCCGUCCCUCACUCUGUCACUAGAGUGAGGGGGUGAC